rnacentral:rRNA from 1 species
AUUGAACGCUGGCGGCAGGCCUAACACAUGCAAGUCGAGCGGAGCGUCAGACGGGUAAGGAAUGCCUAGGAAUCUGCAUGGUAGUGGGGGGUAACGUCCGGAAACGGGCGCUGAUACCGCAUAGUAUCAGAUGAGCUUAGGUCGGAUUAGCUAGUUGGGGGGGUAAAGGCAUACCAAGGCGACGAUCCGUAACUGGUCUGAGAGGAUGAUCAGUCACACUGGAACUGAGACACGGCCCAGACUCCUACGGGAGGCAGCAGUGGGGAAUAUUGGACAAUGGGCGAAAGCCUGAUCCAGCCAUGCCGCGUGUGUGAAGAAGGUCUUCGGAUUGUAAAGCACUUUCAGUUGGGAGGCGUUACCAACAGAAUAAGCACCGGCUAACUUCGUGCCAGCAGCCGCGGUAAUAC